UUUAAGUAGAGUUUGAUCCUAGCUCAGGAUGAACGCUGGCGGCGUGGAUAAGGCAUGCAAGUCGAACGAAUUUUAAUUGUUGAAGUUGAAAUGAAGUAGCAAUAUGGAAUUUUGAUAGAUAUUUUUAAAAUUAGUGGCGAACGAGGUAGUAACACGUGGGUACUUCCCCCUAAGUCGCGAAUAAUCCAUCGAAAGGUGGACUAAUACGCGAUAUACUUCAGAGUGAAAGAUUUUUCGCUUAGGGAAAGGCCUGCGGGAUAUCAGCUAGUUGGUAGUGUAAUAGACUACCAAGGCUAUGACGUCUAGGGGAGCUGAGAGGCUGACCCCCACCGAUGGGACUGAGACACGGCCCAUACACCUACGGGUGGCUGCAGUCAAGAACCUUCCACAAUGGACGAAAGUCUGAUGGAGCGACGCCGCGUGAUUGAUGAAGUCCUUCGGGACGUAAAGAUCUUUUAUGAGGGAAGAAGUUUAUUGACGGUACCUCAUGAAUAAGGGGCUCCUAAUCUCGUGCCAGCAGGAGCGGUAAUACGAGAGCCCCGAGCGUUAUCCGGAAUUAUUGGGCGUAAAGGGUGCGUCGGUUGUUAUAUUAGCCUCACUUUAAAUCUUCAUGCUCAACAUGAAGCAUGGGCGGGGAACGGUAUGACUAGAGGUUGUGAGAGGUGUGCGGAACUCAAGGUGUAGGGGUGAAAUCCGUUGAUAUCUUGGGGAACACCAAAUGCGAAGGCAGCACACUGGCACAUAUCUGACACUCAAGCACGAAAGCGUGGGUAGCGAAUGGGAUUAGAUACCCCAGUAGUCCACGCCCUAAACGAUGAUCUCUCGGUUUUCGGAGUAUCGACCCUCUGAGAGCCUAAGCUAACGCGUUAAGAGAUCCGCCUGGGAAAUACGGCCGCAAGGCUAAAACUCAAAGGAAUAGACGGGGACUCGCACAAGCAGUGGAUUAUGUGGUUUAAUUCGAUGGUAAACGAAGAACCUCACCAGGGUUUGACACCUACGUGAAAGCUCUAAGAAACUAGAGCCCUCGCAAGACUAGUAGGCAGGUGUUGCAUGGCCGUCGUCAGUUCGUGGUUUGAAUUGUUCCCUUAAGUGGGGUAACGAACGCAACCCUCGUCGUGUGUUAUAUUUGUCACACGAGACCGCCCAGAACAAAGCGCGUGAAUGCGCUUCUAGUAGAAAGUGUAAAGUUGAAAGUCAAAAGUGAAUUCAGAAAUGCAUUUACUUUAAACUUUCUACAUUCAACUUUUGACUUGAAGUGUACAUCGUACGUUUCGUUCUGGGAGGAAGGAGAGGAUGACGCCAGGUCAGCAUGACCCUUUGAUAUCCUGGGCUACACACAUAAUACAAUGACGGCUACAACGCGUUGCGACGAGGUAACUCUGAGCUAAUCGUUAUAAAAGCCGCCUCAGUUCGGAUUGAGGUCUGCAACUCGACCUCAUGAAGUUGGAAUUGCUAGUAAUCGCAGGUCAGACAUACUGCGGUGAAUACGUUCUCGAGUCUUGUACUCACCGCCCGUCAAGUCAAGGGAGCUGGGAAUACCCGAAAUUUCUACAUUAGUAGGACCUAAGGUAAGCUCAGUGACAGGGACUAAGUCGUAACAAGGCACGGGUAGCGGAAGCUGCUCGUGGAAUAAUUCAAUU
rnacentral:rRNA from 1 species